rnacentral:rRNA from 1 species
AAUACAUGCAAGUCGAGCGAACAGAAAAGGAGCUUGCUCCUUUGACGUUAGCGGCGGACGGGUGAGUAACACGUGGGCAACCUACCCUAUAGUUUGGGAUAACUCCGGGAAACCGGGGCUAAUACCGAAUAAUCUCUUUUGCUUCAUGGUGAAAGACUGAAAGACGGUUUCGGCUGUCGCUAUAGGAUGGGCCCGCGGCGCAUUAGCUAGUUGGUGAGGUAACGGCUCACCAAGGCGACGAUGCGUAGCCGACCUGAGAGGGUGAUCGGCCACACUGGGACUGAGACACGGCCCAGACUCCUACGGGAGGCAGCAGUAGGGAAUCUUCCACAAUGGGCGAAAGCCUGAUGGAGCAACGCCGCGUGAGUGAAGAAGGUUUUCGGAUCGUAAAACUCUGUUGUAAGGGAAGAACAAGUACAGUAGUAACUGGCUGUACCUUGACGGUACCUUAUUAGAAAGCCACGGCUAACUACGUGCCAGCAGCCGCGGUAAUACGUAGGUGGCAAGCGUUGUCCGGAAUUAUUGGGCGUAAAGCGCGCGCAGGCGGUCCUUUAAGUCUGAUGUGAAAGCCCACGGCUCAACCGUGGAGGGUCAUUGGAAACU